GCAUAUCAAUAAGCGGAGGAAAAGAAACCAACAGGGAUUGCCCUAGUAACGGCGAAGUGAAGCGGCAACAGCUCAAAUUUGAAAUCUGGCUCUUUUUGGGGGUCCGAGUUGUAAUUUGCAGAGGAUGCUUUGGCAUUGGCGGCGGUCUAAGUUCCUUGGAACAGGACAUCGCAGAGGGUGAGAAUCCCGUACGUGGGCGCCUGCCUUUGCCGUGUAAAGCUCCUUCGACGAGUCGAGUUGUUUGGGAAUGCAGCUCUAAAUGGGAGGUAAAUUUCUUCUAAAGCUAAAUACCGGCCAGAGACCGAUAGCGCACAAGUAGAGUGAUCGAAAGAUGAAAAGUACUUUGGAAAGAGAGUCAAAAAGCACGUGAAAUUGUUGAAAGGGAAGCGCUUGCAGCCAGACUUGCCCGCAGUUGCUCACCUAGGCUUUGGCCUGGGGCACUCUUCUGCGGGCAGGCCAGCAUCAGUUUGGGCGGUUGGAUAAAGGCCUCUGUCACGUAUCUCCCUUCGGGGUGACCUUAUAGGGGAGGCGUAAUGCAACCAGCCCGGACUGAGGUCCGCGCAUCUGCUAGGAUGCUGGCGUAAUGGCUGUAAGCGGCCCGUCUUGAAACACGGACCAAGGAGUCUAACAUCUAUGCGAGUGUUUGGGUGUCAAGCCCGGGCGCGCAAUGAAAGUGAACGGAGGUGGGAACCCUUUGGGUGCACCAUCGACCGAUCCUGAUGUCUUCGGAUGGAUUUGAGUAAGAGCAUAGCUGUUGGGACCCGAAAGAUGGUGAACUAUGCUUGAAUAGGGUGAAGCCAGAGGAAACUCUGGUGGAGGCUCGCAGCGGUUCUGACGUGCAAAUCGAUCGUCAAAUUUGGGCAUAGGGGCGAAGACUAAUCGAACCAUCUAGUAGCUGGUCUGC
rnacentral:rRNA from 1 species